UCGAGGGGCAGCGCGGGUAGCAAUACUUGGCGGCGACCGGCAAACGGGUGCGGAACACGUACGCAACUUUCCUUCAAGUGAGGAAUAGCCCAGGGAAACUUGGAUUAAUACCUCGUAAUAUUAUGAAGUGGCAUCACUUUAUAAUUAUAGCUCCGGCGCUUGAAGAUGGGCGUGCGGCUGAUUAGGUAGUUGGCGGGGUAACGGCCCACCAAGCCUACGAUCAGUAACUGGUGUGAGAGCACGACCAGUCACACGGGCACUGAGACACGGGCCCGACUCCUACGGGAGGCAGCAGUAAGGAAUAUUGGCCAAUGGACGCAAGUCUGACCCAGCCAUGCCGCGUGGAGGAUGAAGGUCCUCUGGAUUGUAAACUUCUUUUAUCUGGGAAGAAAUCCAUAUUUUCUAAUGUGGUUGACGGUACCAGAUGAAUAAGCACCGGCUAACUCCGUGCCAGCAGCCGCGGUAAUACGGAGGGUGCAAGCGUUAUCCGGAUUCACUGGGUUUAAAGGGUGCGUAGGCGGAUUGGUAAGUCCGUGGUGAAAUCUCCGAGCUUAACUCGGAAACUGCCGUGGAUACUAUCAGUCUUGAAUAUCGUGGAGGUAAGCGGGAUAUGUCAUGUAGCGGUGAAAUGCUUAGAUAUGACAUAGAACACCAAUUGCGUAGGCAGCUUACUACACGAUCAUUGACGCUGAGGCACGAGAGCGUGGG
rnacentral:rRNA from 1 species